rnacentral:rRNA from 1 species
GAUGAACGCUGGCGGCGUGCCUAACACAUGCAAGUUGAACGAAGUGGCGGAUGGGCGAGUAACACGUGAGGAACCUGCCUUUCACAGGGGAAUAACACUGGGAAACCAGUGCUAAUACCGCAUAGUGAAAGAUGGCGUCGCGCCUGAUUAGCUAGUAGGUGAGGUAACGGCUCGCGUAGGUGAUGAUCAGUAGCCGGACGGGAGGUUGCUCGGCCGCAGUGGGACUGAGACGCAGCCGAGAGUCCUACGGGAGGCAGGAGUGGGGAAUAUUGGGCAAUGGCGCAAGCCUGACCCAGGAACGAGGCGUGAAGGAAGACGGUCGUCGGGUUGGAAGCGUCUAUAGACAGGGAAGCGGUACCUGUAGAAGAAGCCACGGCUAACUACGUGCCAGCAGCCGCGGUAAUUC